CCUACGGGUGGCAGCAGUGAGGAAUAUUGGUCAAUGGACGAGAGUCUGAACCAGCCAAGUCGCGUGAAGGAUGACUGCCCUAUGGGUUGUAAACUUCUUUUAUAAAGGAAUAAAACGAGGCACGUGUGCCGUUGUGCAGUUACUUUAUGAAUAAGGAUCGGCUAACUUCGUGCCAGCAGCCGCGGUAAUACGGGGGGUCCGAGCGUUAUCCGGAUUUAUUUGGGUUAAAGGGGGCGUAGAUGGGUUGGUAAGUCAGUUGUGAAAGUUUGCGGCUCAACCGGACAAUUGCAAUUGAUACUGGCAGGCUUGAGUGCAGUAGAGGUAGGCGGAAUUCGUGGUGUAGCGGUGAAAUGCUUAGAUAUCACGAAGAACACCGAUUGCGAAGGCAGCUUACUAAACUGUGACUGACAUUGAUGCUCGAAAGUGUGGGUAUCAAACAGGAUUAGAUACCCGAGUAGUC
rnacentral:rRNA from 1 species